GAGGAUAUAGCUUAAGUGGUAGAGUGCAUGCUUAAUAUGCACAAGGUCCUGGAUUCAAUCCCCAGUACCUCCU
rnacentral:tRNA from 1 species